rnacentral:rRNA from 1 species
AGCAGCCGCGGUAAUUCCAGCUCCAAUAGCGUAUAUUAAAGUUGUUGCAGUUAAAAAGCUCGUAGUUGAAUUUCGGGGUUAGCAGGUCGGUCGUGCCAUCGGUAUGAACUGGUCUCGCUGAUCCCUCCCUCUUGACGAACUGUGAUGCCAUUAAUUUGGUGUCGCAGGGAAUCAGGACUGUUACUUUGAAAAAUUAGAGUGUUUAAAGCAGGCUCACGCUUGAAUACAUUAGCAUGGAAUAAUGAAAUAGGACGUUUGAUCCUAUUUUGUUGGCUUCUAGGAUUGACGUAAUGAUUAAUAGGGAUAGUUGGGGGCAUUAGUAUUCAAUUGUCAGAGGUGAAAUUCUUGGAUUUAUUGAAGACUAACUACUGCGAAAGCAUUUGCCAAGGAUGUUUUCAUUAAUCAAGAACGAAAGUUAGGGGAUCGAAGACGAUCAGAUACCGUCGUAGUCUUAACCAUAAACUAUGCCGACUAGGGAUCGGAUGAUGUUAAUUUUUAAUGUACUA